UACGGAGGGAGCUAGCGUUGUUCGGAAUUACUGGGCGUAAAGCGCGCGUAGGCGGCUUUGUAAGUUAGAGGUGAAAGCCCGGGGCUCAACUCCGGAACUGCCUUUAAGACUGCAUCGCUUGAAUCCGGGAGAGGUGAGUGGAAUUCCGAGUGUAGAGGUGAAAUUCGUAGAUAUUCGGAAGAACACCAGUGGCGAAGGCGGCUCACUGGACCGGUAUUGACGCUGAGGUGCGAAAGCGUGGGGGAGCAAACAGG
rnacentral:rRNA from 1 species